rnacentral:rRNA from 1 species
UACGUAGGGUGCGAGCGUUGUCCGGAAUUACUGGGCGUAAAGAGCUCGUAGGCGGUUUGUCGCGUCUGCCGUGAAAGUCCGGGGCUCAACUCCGGAUCUGCGGUGGGUACGGGCAGGCUAGAGUUCGGUAGGGGAGACUGGAAUUCCUGGUGUAGCGGUGAAAUGCGCAGAUAUCAGGAGGAACACCGAUGGCGAAGGCAGGUCUCUGGGCCGAUACUGACGCUGAGGAGCGAAAGCGUGGGGAGCGAACAGG